rnacentral:rRNA from 1 species
GAUGAACGCUAGCGGCAGGCUUAAUACAUGCAAGUCGAGGGGCAGCACGGUUAGCAAUAACUGGUGGCGACCGGCGCACGGGUGCGUAACACGUAUACAAUCUACCUUAAACAGGGGGAUAGCCUUUCGAAAGAGAGAUUAAUACCCGUAAUAAAUUGAACGGCAUCGUUUGAUUUUGAAAGCUCCGGCGGUUUGAGAUGAGUAUGCGUCUGAUUAGCUAGUUGGUGAGGUAACGGCUCACCAAGGCGACGAUCAGUAGGGGAUCUGAGAGGACUAACCCCCACACUGGUACUGAGACACGGACCAGACUCCUACGGGAGCAGCAGUAAGGAAUAUUGGUCAAUGGAGGCAACUCUGAACCAGCCAUGCCGCGUGCAGGAUGACGGCCCUAUGGGUUGUAAACUGCUUUUAUACAAGAGAAAACCCUGGUACGUGUACCAGGUUGAUAGUAUUGUAAGAUAAGCAUCGGCUAACUUCGUGCCAGCAGCCGCGGUAAU